rnacentral:rRNA from 1 species
GACGAACGCUGGCGGCGUGCCUAAUACAUGCAAGUCGAACGCUUCUUUUACCACCGGAGCUUGCUCCACCGGAAAAAAAAGAGUGGCGAACGGGUGAGUAACACGUGGGUAACCUGCCCAUCAGAAGGGGAUAACACUUGGAAACAGGUGCUAAUACCGUAUAACAAUCGAAACCGCAUGGUUUUGAUUUGAAAGGCGCUUUCGGGUGUCGCUGAUGGAUGGACCCGCGGUGCAUUAGCUAGUUGGUGAGGUAACGGCUCACCAAGGCCACGAUGCAGAGCCGACCUGAGAGGGUGAUCGGCCACAUUGGGACUGAGACACGGCCCAAACUCCUACGGGAGGCAGCAGUAGGGAAUCUUCGGCAAUGGACGAAAGUCUGACCGAGCAACGCCGCGUGAGUGAAGAAGGUUUUCGGAUCGUAAAACUCUGUUGUUAGAGAAGAACAAGGAUGAGAGUAACUGUUCAUCCCUUGACGGUAUCUAACCAGAAAGCCACGGCUAACUACGUGCCAGCAGCCGCCGUAA